UACGUAGGGGGCAAGCGUUGUCCGGAAUCAUUGGGCGUAAAGGGCGCGUAGGCGGCCACCGCAAGUCGAUUGUGAAAUCUCCGGGCUUAACUCGGAAAGGUCAACCGAUACUGCGGGGCUAGAGUGCAGAAGGGGCAACUGGAAUUCUCGGUGUAGCGGUGAAAUGCGUAGAUAUCGAGAGGAACACCUGCGGCGAAGGCGGGUUGCUGGGCUGACACUGACGCUGAUGUGCGAAAGCUAGGGGAGCGAACGGG
rnacentral:rRNA from 1 species